UUAAAGCAGAACGCGGCAUUCUCGUUCGAUUCUUUGAGUCUCAAAGCGGUUUCGUGGUAGGGAACCAGUAGUUC